rnacentral:sRNA from 1 species
CUAUUUCACUUAUACCCUACUAGCUUAAUCUUGACAUUUAACUCAUUGUUUGAACAAAAUAACUCCGUGAAUUCAAUCAUAAAAUACUACCAUUGAUCUCUUAUUUGACAGAGUAGUUCUAGGUAAUUUGAACCAUAUCAUUAACCAUUCAAAUAGGCUAGGAUACCACUCUAUUCGAUUACCCCAUCCUUAGGAAUUUCUCGUCUAUCUGAUUUCUAUGUUUUAUCGUUAUCGCUUAAUCGUUCUCAUUGCCUGUUUCUUAGUUUUUGCAAUUACUCGACCACACCCAAUGUCUGGCAACAGACUGUGCAGUCGAGUACAGUUGUCUCGUUUCCUGCCUGUUACUCGACCUGUUACUCGACCACAUCCUGCUUUUGGCAUCAGCUAGUUGUGGUAGAGUGAUAUUAGUAAUUUUAUUAUAAUUUAUGUUUUCUGUAUGUUCGCUUAGGACUGUUAGAAACCCCAAAACUGUUAUUGCUUGGCUUUGGCUUGACUUAGUGACUUCUGAUCACAUCUGAUCUGUUUUCAUCACACCCAUUUGGAUUUACAACCUUUAGUACUACAACGACAUGAUAGUGCUUUAGGAUUAAUUGAUCUUAAACCUAUUAUCAAUUUGGCGCCGUUGCCAAUUGGGUGCUUAUUUGCUAUAUUUGAGAUUUCAGAAUUGUUAAGAUCAAGUUCGUUUUUGUUAUAAGAGUACUAACAUUGUGUCAUUUCAGACUUUGUAUUUCAGGUACUUAGCAACCAACUUUAUUCGUCUGUU